ACGAGCCUUCGGCUAGUGGCGGACGGGUGAGUAACACGUGGGAACGUACCUUUAGGUUCGGAAUAACGCAGAGAAAUUUGCGCUAAUACCGAAUGUGCCCUUCGGGGGAAAGAUUUAUCGCCUUUAGAGCGGCCCGCGUUAGAUUAGCUAGUUGGUGGGGUAAAGGCCCACCAAGGCUACGAUCUAUAGCUGGUCUGAGAGGAUGAUCAGCCACAUUGGGACUGAGACACGGCCCAAACUCCUACGGGAGGCAGCAGUGGGGAAUCUUGCGCAAUGGUCGAAAGACUGACGCAGCCAUGCCGCGUGAAUGAUGAAGGUCUUAGGAUUGUAAAAUUCUUUCAGCAGGGACGAUAAUGACGGUACCUGCAGAAGAAGCCCCGGCUAACUUCGUGCCAGCAGCCGCGGUAAUACGAAGGGGGCUAGCGUUGCUCGGAAUUACUGGGCGUAAAGGGAGCGUAGGCGGGUUAUCAAGUUGGAGGUGAAAGCCCAGGGCUCAACCUUGGAAUUGCCUUCAAAACUGAUAGCCUAGAGUAUGAUAGAGGUAAGUGGAACUCCGAGUGUAGAGGUGAAUUCGUAGAUAUUCGGAAGACACCAGUGCGAGGCGACUUACUGAUCAUGACUGACGCUGAGGCUCGA
rnacentral:rRNA from 1 species